UCACACCAACUAAUUUGUAUUAUUCUCUAAAGUGAUAAUAACAAGAAGAUAACAUCACACGCCUUAUAGGCACUACAAGGAACAUCGAACUACAAACUAGGAAUAACUUAACACUAUUUCUAAACAUUUACUGACUAAGCAAAUGACUGGAUAAUGCAACACAUUAAUCAAGCAACUCAAUGAUGUACAACUUAAAAUCGAACGCAUAAGCUUUGGUUUCUUUCUUUUGAUUCGUCUUCACCCAGUCUGCGUUAAUGUUGGUCAUGAACUCUUUAGGCUCUUUUUUAUCCUUCAAAUGUUGCAUCCGUAAAUUAAUUACACUAUUUAUGAAUCAAUGGAUCGAUAUUAUGCAUGCUACCCUUGUCAUUCCUAAGUAGAUAAGUUACUUACUGUCUUCCACACGAGUCAUUGGCCAACACUCACAAGUAAGCCAAUUUUCAGGUCAAAAUCCCCAACCACUUGGAUGGUUGGGUAGACGUCAGCAACUCAGAAUCCUAAUAAUAACCCUUUACAAUAUCCUCCAUGGAGACAACCUCCGGAACCUUCUUGAUCGUAAUCCACUUUCCACAUGGGACCUAUCCAAUUUAUAGAUGCGAUUAAUAAGUAAUUGUAGAGAAUGGCACUAAUAAAUAAUAAUAAUAACAAGGCUACAAAUUCAUGUUUAUUACCUUUUCGGUUCGAAGUUUAUACUCCUUAUCAUCCCAUCUAAUUGCGAAUUCCAUGUCGCGACCACAAUUAUCACAAACAAAGUAAAGGUUAAAUUUGGAAAGCUAUAGAAGGCUCAUUGAUUCAUAAGGCUCUCCAUAUCACGCAACGACAUUAUAAGUCCUCUUAGUAACCAUCUGGGAAUCUGCGUGUGUGGGUGUUCGCAAGUGUGUGAGUGUGCCUAAGGUGUGGUUGGCACACAUAUAUAUAAGCGGACUCAUUCCAUAAUAAUAAUAAUAAUAAUAAUAAUAAUAAUAGUUGAAAUAAUAGAAAUAAUAGUAUAAUAAGAAUAUAAUUAUAAUAAUUAGAUGAGUUGAAUUAUUUGGUUAAUAAUUAUAAUAGUUUAAAUCUAAAAGUUAAUAGUUAUUU
rnacentral:lncRNA from 1 species